UUGGAGGGCAAGUCUGGUGCCAGCAGCCGCGGUAAUUCCAGCUCCAAUAGCGUAUAUUAAAGUUGUUGCAGUUAAAAAGCUCGUAGUUGAAUUUCGGGAUCAAAUUGUCGGUCGUGCCUCGGUACGCACUGGUAUUAUUGGUUCCUACCUUCUGAAGAACCGCGAUGUCAUUAAUUUGGUGUCGUGGGGAAUCAGGACUGCUACUUUGAAAAAAUUAGAGUGUUUAAAGCAGGCUUACGCUUGAAUACAUUAGCAUGGAAUAAUGAAAUAGGGCGUUUGAUUCUAUUUUGUUGGUUUCUAGGAUUGACGUAAUGAUUAAUAGGGAUAGUUGGGGGCAUUAGUAUUCAAUCGUCAGAGGUGAAAUUCUUGGAUUUAUUGAAGACUAACUACUGCGAAAGCAUUUGCCAAGGAUGUUUUCAUUAAUCAAGAACGAAAGUUAGGGGAUCGAAGACGAUCAGAUACCGUCGUAGUCUUAACCAUAAACUAUGCCGACUAGGGAUCGGAUGAUGUUAAUUUUUUAAUGACUCAUUCGGCGCCUUACGGGAAAC
rnacentral:rRNA from 1 species